GUGCCAGCAGCCGCGGUAAUACGGAGGGGGCUAGCGUUGUUCGGAAUUACUGGGCGUAAAGCGCACGUAGGCGGAUCAGAAAGUUGGGGGUGAAAUCCCGGGGCUCAACCUCGGAACUGCCUUCAAAACUAUUGGUCUUGAGUUCGAGAGAGGUGAGUGGAAUUCCGAGUGUAGAGGUGAAAUUCGUAGAUAUUCGGAGGAACACCAGUGGCGAAGGCGGCUCACUGGCUCGAUACUGACGCUGAGGUGCGAAAGCGUGGGGAGCAAACAGG
rnacentral:rRNA from 1 species